CCUACGGGAGGCAGCAGUGAGGAAUAUUGGUCAAUGGGCGCGAGCCUGAACCAGCCAAGUCGCGUGAGGGAAGACGGUCCUAUGGAUUGUAAACCUCUUUUGUCGGGGAGCAAAAGACGCCACGCGUGGCGUUCCGAGAGUACCCGAAGAAAAAGCAUAGGCUAACUCCGUGCCAGCAGCCGCGGUAAUACGGAGGAUGCGAGCGUUAUCCGGAUUUAUUGGGUUUAAAGGGUGCGCAGGCGGAAGAUCAAGUCAGCGGUAAAAUUGAGAGGCUCAACCUCUUCGAGCCGUUGAAACUGGUUGUCUUGAGUGAGCGAGAGGUAUGCGGAAUGCGUGGUGUAGCGGUGAAAUGCAUAGAUAUCACGCAGAACUCCGAUUGCGAAGGCAGCAUACCGGCGCUCAACUGACGCUCAUGCACGAAAGUGUGGGUAUCGAACAGGAUUAGAUACCCCGGUAGUC
rnacentral:rRNA from 1 species